CAGGAUGUUUUUGGAUUCAGGUCUCUG
rnacentral:piRNA from 1 species